rnacentral:rRNA from 1 species
GAUGAACGCUGACAGAAUGCUUAACACAUGCAAGUCAACUGUGGCGGACGGGUGAGUAACGCGUAAAGACCUUGCCUCACAGAUAGGGACAACAAUUGGAAACGAAUGCUAAUACCUAAUACUGUGAGAGAGCUUUGCGUCCCAUUAGCUAGUUGGAGAGGUAACGGCUCACCAAGGCGAGGAUGGGUAGCCGGCCUGAGAGGGUGAUCGGCCACAAGGGGACGGCGACACAGCCCUUAUUCCUACGGGAGGCAGCAGUAGGGAAUAUUGGACAAUGGACCAAAGUCUGAUCCAGCAAUUCUGUGUGCACGAUGAAGUUUUCGGAAUGUAAAGUGCUUUCAGUUGGGAAGCGGUACCAACAGAAGAAGUGACUGCUAAAUACGUGCCAGCAGCCGCGGUAAUUC